UCUAUUCCUGGUUCGGUGGGAGCCGUUACUCUUGGCAUGAGUAAAUUGAUUAUUCCGGAAAUGCCUCAUUUGGUGCGAGAAAUCAAUAAAUAGAU
rnacentral:tRNA from 1 species